AAUCGUGAACACAAAUGUGUUAGGUACAUAUUACUUAGAUAUUUUUGGCGCUUCGCAUGGCGAGGCUCAUU
rnacentral:sRNA from 1 species